UUGUUUUGACUGGUUCCGAUCCUUUUAUCAACAAUGAUCAGCCUUUUACACUUAACUGCUCAUCUCAUGUUGUGCCGAGGGGAGAAGAAGCAUAUUUCUACAAGGACAAUAUCAGUAUCAUUAACAUACGUUAUCUACCAUCAACAUCAACGUGUUAUGGGAUACCACAGGACGGAAAAACGAUAUUCCAAUGCAAUGACACUUGCACUUGUUCAGAGGAUGCUCGAAUAUUCACAUGGACUUACAGAGGAACUGUAACCAACCAGCGAGUAACAUUUAAAUGUGGCAUGGAUUUCGGUACUGAUCAAAGAAAUGUCACGUACAGAGAAAUAACCGUUGAAAGAGCAUUUAAUGUGACUCCGCCAAUUACUUCGGAUGCACCAACACGAGAACCAGACGCUCCAUCAAAUGUUUUCGUUGUUUGCAAGGAAACGUCAAUGACAGUUUUUUGGAGACCAGGAUUUAAUGGCGAUGAUAUUCAAAAAUUUAAAAUAUUGCUUGUGAAUAACCAGACAAACCAAACCACUACUUCACAGUUCAUGCCUGAUCAAGGCAGAGCAGAAGCAGUGUUGUUAACUAUUGAAUCACUUGAUCCAGAAACGUUAUAUAUUGUGUCUGUGCAAGCCAGUAAUACACACGGGACAGUGGCAUCAGAAAACGUUAACUGCUCCACAUCAUCAGGUUAGGCACUUAAAGAAUCGGACAAAAUCGCGGCUGUUGGCAUUGGGGCAGAAAUAGGAUCGGCUAUAUUAAUAUUUGGAAUAACAAGCAUUGCAGUCUUUUUUUUACAAGAAAAGAAAAGAUACAA